ACGCUCGACACCUACGGGAGCAGCAGUGGGGAAUAUUGCACAAUGGGGGAAACCCUGAUGCAGCGACGCCGCGUGGAGGAAGAAGGUCUUCGGAUUGUAAACUCCUGUUGUUGGGGAAAAAGAGGAUGGUACCCAACAAGGAAGUGACGGCUAACUACGUCGCGCAGCGCGGUAAUCUGAGCGGGCUGGCAAGGC
rnacentral:rRNA from 1 species